AUUUCUUGGUUCGGCAGGCUGUUGGGCUCUAAUGGAUACCAGACAUCUCCAGCCCACCCAGAGCACGCAGGGCCAGAGUCCUUGUUUUAAUACCUUUGGACUUCGUGCUCCUGUCCUGCCAAAGGAAAAAAUAUUCAUGUGGUCAGAGAAGAUAUGCUGGAAAAACUAAGGCUGGUCCUCAAAGGAUCUGCACCUUCCAUUCCAGAAAUGGAUGGCAGAUGAGAAGCUGAAGACACUGAGAUAUCCUGGUGAGUUGUUCUAACUGAGCUACUGGACAUCCUGCAAGUCCCUGAUCAUGCUAAAUUAAUUUUGUGAAUUAUUUCUGGGUGUUUCGUGAGCUGAAUAUUUCCAUUUGAAAAAGGAAUUAGCUCCUCUUGGUUUCCUCCUUUUGAAAUGGAGAUAAAUCAAAAUGAUGUGUUUCAGCUAUGGUUUGGGGGCAGGUUUCUGGUUUAUAGUAAUACAUAAUAUUGAUAUUAUAAAAGAUACUCCUGCUUUUGGUCCCAAGUAAGCAGUAGAGCUGGUAACUGUUGGAAGGAUGAACCUUGUGGCUCCUGUCACACGGAGAGCAGGAACUGGCGAGUAGAUAUGAGCUCAACUCCCUUUCCUCCUGAAAUCUGGUGGAAUCCUGAUUUUCAGGUUCCAUUUUUAGCCCAUCUGUAAAUAAAGCCAAACGAGUGGGUGUGACAAAAUUUUCACAACCACAAGCAGCUUGUCAGGAGGUUGGCUGGUCACCCAACCUGUGGAUCAUGCAAGUGCACAUCAGCUUGUUCUUCCAUGCUCAUGUAUUAAUGCAAGGUAUGGGCACUGAUAACAUGUGCUCCUCUAAAAACUGCAUCAGACAACUAUGGGGUUUCAAUAUUAAACAGCCAAGAGGGGUUUGCUGGCCCCGCUUGGCCAGACGGGUCUCGCUGUGUUGUUCCUUUUCUCCCCGUGCUCCUUGGCAUGAAUCACUGCGUGGUCAAACAGAGCGUUUGGUUUCCACAAACAUGUGCAUGAGACCUGCAAAUUCACUUCAACAAACGUUUGUGUCAUCAUGGGUUAAUGGUGCUGCAGGAAAAGAGAGGUUCCUGUGAAAUUUAUGUUAGAGAAGCAAUCUUUUGCACUCGAAAACCGGCAAAAUUAUAUGGGAUAAUUCUUGUCUCAGAUACAGUGAAUUCAUAGAUAAGUCAGAAUUAAUGGCAAUCAGCCCAUUAGACAAGGUAAUUUAAUAUCCACUUUCAGUUACACUAAGGUGCUGGUGACAAGACCAGGCCAAGAUGGUUUUAUCUGGAUUUACACUAAAAGACAAACCUUUUAAAAAAGUAAUCGGAAAGCAAAACCAGAAAUCUGUUUCAAACCUAGAAACAGAAUAAAAAAUUGAAAUCUGGAAUGCAAGCUCUCCCUAGGAACCACAGAUACUCCAAGUUAGCUAAAAAUGAUGUAGCUUAACUUAUAAAAAUAGUAAAACAGCAAAAAAAGGUACCACAUGUUCCUCCCGGACUGAAAGCCAAACAAUUGCUAUUACAUUUAAAUCAUGUUCUGACAUAAUGCUACAGAAACCCUGGAGAAAGUAGAGCUGACAGCGUCGAAGCAUAUUGUGCUAAGCAAGCCCCGCGUGCUCGGGGCUGAGCAUCCCGCUUGCUCCACGGCACUUCAUCAGCCGCUGGCAUGAGAAAACAAGCCAUUCAGAUCCCCUCGCUCUCGGUAAUCGAGCUGUAUCGCAGGAGAGCAAACCAGCUUAAAAUAAAUGACACCUCAGCCUCAUAACCCCAGCCGGAGCCUGAGGACUCGGCUCCCGGUGCCGAGGGCGAUGCCAGAUCCCGGAUGGCCACAGAAUACUAAUGGGCAGCUGUGGAGCCGCCUGUUUAUUUUCUCUUUUGAAAUAGCCAUGCAAAUAAGACACUGGCACAGAACAUCAGUGCCCCCGGAGCUUAUAUAUGAUACGCAAGAUUCAUUGCUUUCUUUUCCUUGUUCUCCCCA